rnacentral:rRNA from 1 species
ACGCUCGACACCUACGGGGGGCAGCAGUGGGGAAUAUUGGGCAAUGGGCGCAAGCCUGACCCAGCAACGCCGCGUGAAGGAAGAAGGCCCUCGGGUUGUAAACUUCUUUUAUCAGGGACGAAGCAAGUGACGGUACCUGAUGAAUAAGCCACGGCUAACUACGUGCCUGCAGCCGCGGUAAUCUGAGCGGGCUGGCAAGGC